rnacentral:rRNA from 1 species
GACGAACGCUGGCGGCGUGCUUAACACAUGCAAGUCGAACGGAAAGGCCCUGCUUUUGCGGGGUGCUCGAGUGGCGAACGGGUGAGUAACACGUGAGUAACCUGCCCUUGACUUUGGGAUAACUUCAGGAAACUGGGGCUAAUACCGGAUAGGAGCUCCUGCUGCAUGGUGGGGGUUGGAAAGUUUCGGCGGUUGGGGAUGGACUCGCGGCUUAUCAGCUUGUUGGUGGGGUAGUGGCUUACCAAGGCUUUGACGGGUAGCCGGCCUGAGAGGGUGACCGGCCACAUUGGGACUGAGAUACGGCCCAGACUCCUACAGGAGGCAGCAGUGGGGAAUAUUGCACAAUGGGCGGAAGCCUGAUGCAGCAACGCCGCGUGCGGGAUGACGGCCUUCGGGUUGUAAACCGCUUUCGCCUGUGACGAAGCGUGAGUGACGGUAAUGGGUAAAGAAGCACCGGCUAACUACGUG